rnacentral:rRNA from 1 species
UACGUAGGGGGCGAGCGUUGUCCGGAUUUACUGGGCGUAAAGAGCGCGUAGGCGGAAGCUUAAGUGUGGCCUGAAAGCCCCCGGCUCAACCGGGGAAGGUGGCUGCAAACUGGGCUUCUUGAGGGGGAUAGGGGAAAGUGGAAUUCCGGGUGUAGCGGUGAAAUGCGUAGAGAUCCGGAGGAACACCAGUGGCGAAGGCGGCUUUCUGGGUCCGCCCUGACGCUGAGGCGCGAAAGCGUGGGGAGCGAACGGG